GACGAACCGAGCGAACGUUGUUCGGAAUCACUGGGCUUAAAGGGCGCGUAGGCGGGUGGCUAAGUCUGUGGUGAAAUCCUCCAGCUCAACUGGAGAACUGCCAUGUAUACUGGUCGUCUCGAGGAAGGUAGGGGUACGUGGAACUAUCGGUGGAGCGGUGAAAUGCGUUGAUAUCGAUAGGAACUCCGGUGGCGAAGGCGACGUACUGGACCUUUUCUGACGCUGAGGCGCGAAAGCCAGGGGAGCAAACGGG
rnacentral:rRNA from 1 species